rnacentral:ncRNA from 1 species
GAAAGCUGUAUGAGGCGAAAGUCUCAUGUACGGUUUGAAGUGGGGGAAAAAGGCAGAGAUAGCAUCAAAACCUUACCAAAC